rnacentral:lncRNA from 1 species
AAUACAAAUUCGAGUAACCGUGUUUCUUCCCUCCCGCGUAGGACCUAUCUUCCUUAUAUGCUUAAGACCCCAUCACUAUUUCAGAAUUUGUGUCCUUAUAUGAAUGGGCACGUACGUAGUAUUUCCUCGGUCGACUAUGUGUACAUCCAUAGGUAUCCCAUGUUAUCUAUAUUGGAAAAUAGUAUGUUAUCUAUAUUGAAAAAUAGUAUAUAAGUUUAAUUCUAAAAUACCAAAUCAACGU